rnacentral:misc_RNA from 1 species
CGCACAUUGCGCCCGCCAGCAUUCUGGCGGGCAUGCCUGUCCGAGCGUCAUUUCAACCCUCAGGCCCUGCCUGGUGUUGGAGGCCUGCGCCUGCAGCCUCCCAAAGCGAGCGGCGGCGUCGCCCCGAACUCGAACGCAGUAGUUACUUCUCGUUCUGGGUCCGAGGCGCUGUCCUGCCGGAAAACCCCCAUCUUUUACAUGGUUGACCUCGGAUCAGGUAGGAAUACCCGCUGAACUUAA